AGAAAAAUGAGUUUUUGUGAUUUCGUCACGUUUUCUUAAAAACUGCGAUGGAAUAUGCAGGGUGUUUAUGCAUUUUUAUGCAAUGAAAUUGCGGGAACUUGAGGAAACUGAGGGAACUUUCAAAA